rnacentral:rRNA from 1 species
AAUAGAUACCCAGGUAGUCCUAGCCGUAAACGAUGAACACUAGGCGUAGUCGGUAUCGACCCCGGCUGUGCCGUAGCUAACGCAUUAAGUGUUCCGCCUGGGGAGUACAGCCGCAAGGCUAAAACUCAAAGGAAUUGACGGGGGGCCCGCACAAGCAGCGGAGCGUGUGGUUUAAUUCGUCGCAACGCGAAGAACCUUACCAGGGCUUGACAUGUGGCGGAAAACGGCGGAAACGUCGUCCUCCCGCAAGGGACCGUCAUGCAGGUGUUGCAUGGCUGUCGUCAGCUCGUGUCGUGAGAUGUUGGGUUAAGUCCCGCAACGAGCGCAACCCCCGUGGCAUGUUGUAUCUCUCAUGCCAGACUGCCGAGAGAAACUCGGAGGAAGGUGGGGAUGACGCCAAGUCAGCAUGGCCCUUACGUCCUGGGCUACACACACGCUGCAAUGGCCGGUACAACGGGUUGCCAACCGCGAGGUGGAGCUAAUCCCUUAAAGCCGGUCUCAGUUCGGAUUGCAGGCUGCAACUCG